rnacentral:rRNA from 1 species
AUCACAUACUAAACGACUCUCGGCAACGGAUAUCUCGGCUCUCGCAUCGAUGAAGAACGUAGCGAAAUGCGACACUUGGUGUGAAUUGCAGAAUCCCGCGAAUCAUCGAGUUUUUGAACGCAAGUUGCGCCCGAAGCCGUCAGGCCGAGGGCACGCCUGCC